rnacentral:lncRNA from 10 species
UAUAUGAAAGACACUGCCAAAUGUCAGUAGAUGUGGUAUUCAGGGCCUCUGUCCUUAUGGAGCUCACAUUCAGAUAGGGGAAACAGACUUUCAUUAAACAAGCCACCAAACACAUAGCUAUAGAUUUUCGUAAGUGCUGUGAAGAAAGCAAACAGGAUGCUCUCUGUGAUAAUGAUGGGAAAUCUUCCCUAGAUGUGACUUAAUUAUACAUUAACUCUGCAGUCCAUUACUUCAAAUGAUCCCUAGUUAUUCAAUUUACAUACUGGAAUUUUACAACCCUGUUUAGUUAGUCCCAGGCUUCAGGCCAUUUAAAACAAAAGAUAUAGAUGAAUAGAAGAGUCACUCAGCUUGUCUUCAUCCUUCAGAUCUCGGUCAAAGGUCACUUUUAUUGGGAGGGUGUCCUGAUUGCCCUUUCCUGCCUCUCACCCUUACUGCAGCGCGCGCGCACACACACACACACACACACACACACACACACACACACACACACACACACACACAUUUAGGUCCUUACUAUAUAUUCUGGUAGUGUCCUGUAUUUUCUUUCCUGACACAUUUGUAAUUAUUUUAUGAGAUUUAAAAAAUUACUGUCUGUCAUCCCAAGAAACCAUAACCUCCAUGAGGGCAGAGAAGGUCUGUCUAUGACUGAAUCCCUAUCAUCUCAAACAGAGUUUGGUAAAGAGUAGACACCAGAAAAAAAUAAUUAUUGAAUGAAUGAUUGAACAAAGGAGGAUUUCCGUUCACUUCAGCAAGACUUUGAUGAUUCAACCCUCUUGGUCCUACAGAAGAGUGAUUCUAGUUUUUAGUCUGUGAAUGAUUCAGGCUCUGAGUUAAACAGGCAAUUCUUGAGAUCGUGGUCUGAAAUUCAUACAACCCUCCUACUUUAAAUUUCCUCAACUCAUGAUCCAGGUGAUUCCUGACAAAUUAAUAAAUGUGAGAAUGAUGCUGUUCUUUUUGUUUAAAGGGUCGAAUCAUAAAUGAAUAGGAAAUGUUGUCAUGUCAAUUCAACUUUUUAUCAGAGGAGUGGUACUGCAUAGUUAGGAGUUCUGACAGAUUCCCCAGGCAGACUGUCUGGGUUCAAAUCCUGGCUCUCUCACUUACCUGAUAUAUGACCACAGGCAAGUCACUUAACCCUUGGGCUCCUCAUUUUUCUAACCUGUAAAAUGAGGUUAAAAUUGUACCUCCCUCACUGGGUUACGUGAGGCUUAAAAGCAUUAGCACAUGCAAAAGUGCUUAUAAUUGUGAAUGGCAUACAGUAAGUGCUAGGUAAGUUCUCACUAUUAAUCUCAGUAAGCGUAAUGCUCACUAAAAUUAUUUUCAAAUUUAUACCAUAUGACUACAUUGAUUGUCUGAAUAAAGUAAAACUAUGUAUAAAGGCUGUACUUCUGAUAUAAGAAUCAUCUUCUAAUUUAUUAUAUUUCCACCCUCCCGUCUCCUUUAGUAAAUUAAUUAAUAUAUUAAGGGAGAGGACAACUUAUAUCACAGUGAUCAUUAUAUUAAGGACAUUAUAGCAUUUAUAAAAAUAAAGAAGUAUUAUGAUAAACUGUAUGAAUUUGAAAUUCACUUUGUGGUAUUUACCUUUAAAAGUAGCAUUUCUGAAUUUCAUACGCUAGUUUCCAUUCCCCUUUAUGGAGUUGGCUUUAACACGCAGCUUCUCAUGUGGCCUGAAAGGGGAUUCUUUCUACUUUCUAGAGGAAUGUGCUGUGAAGGAGGAGUCGGGAAUCUUACUGGCGGCCAUGUGAGAACAGCAGCUCUUUGAAUGCUGGGUACACAGUAGAUGCUCAAUCAGUGCUGACUGAAUGAAAGAACAAAGGGAUGAAAGAAGGAAUGAAGUUUGCAAAAGAUGAGGCUCUAGAUCCCUGCGACAGCAAGUUACCACAGAGGUUUACAUCUGCCUUUCUACUACUCCAGUUCUCUAUUUUUAUUUUAUUUUAUUUUAUUUUUGAGACCGAGUCUGGCUCUGUCGCCCAGGCUGGAGUGCAGUGGCACGAUCUCAGCUCACUGCAACCUCUGCCUCCUGGUUUCAAGCAAUUCUCCUGCCUCAGCCUCCAGAGUAGCUAGGAUUACAGGCACGCACCACCACACCCAGGUAAGUUUUGUAUUUUUAGUAGAGAUGAGGUUUCACCAUGCUGGUCAGGCUGGUGUCAAACUCCUGACCUCAAGUGAUCCGCCUGCCUCGGCCUCCCAAAGUGCUGGGAUUACAGGCGUGAGCCACCAUGCCCAGAGAGUUCUUUACUUUUUGAUUGUUCUUUGUCUUAGUGGACAGAGGCAAAGAUGAACUUGUACUUGGUUUUUAUCACGAUUUAAAGAUUGACAUAGCAUUGUGACUAAAUUCUUUAUUUUCAUAGAAAUAUGUCUUUUUUGACAUUUACUAUUUAAAAAAAUAUGAUGUCAUAAUGGUGGUGGGCUCAAGCUUCCCGCCAUAGAACUUGGAUAAUGCGUUAGCCUCACAUACAUUGUUCUAAAUAUAAAAUAUUCUCAACAGGAUGUAUGAAUUGCUUUUCCAGUAAUGGGAAAAAAAUUGCUUGAUGUGAACCUCAUUUCUUGCUUUCUUCUCUUUCUGAACAAGGCCUCACAUUUAUAAUGUAGCAGAAUUACUAUCAAAGAAAAGAAUGGAACUAACUUGACUCGGUUAUAUGCAAACCAAAACCUUGGAUUUAUCAGCUUUCUGCUAAAAACACUUUUUAAGCAUAUCUUUAAGGUCAUGUUCAAAAAUAGAAACAUGAAAUUUGCUACAAUAUAGAGCAGACACCACAAACUGAACUGUUUAAUAGGAGAAGGCUGUGUAUAUGUGGGUUUAGGGAAGAAGAGAUUAAAAGUUAGAGUUAUACAAGGAGAAAUAUAAUUUCAACAAACCACAUUUGUAUUAUGAAUAAAGAAAGGAACUUCAUUGGUUUUAAACUAAAUUCUGUCAAAUGUGUAUCUCCCCCAGAUAUCUAGAGACAGAAUCAUAAGAUUGAACUGUAUGUGACCUUAGACAAAAUAGAUUUCUGCAUUUUAAAAAUGAGGAGAAUUAAAGCUGAGAGAGGUUAAAUGGCUUUCUCACAAUAAC